rnacentral:rRNA from 1 species
GACGAACGCUGGCGGCGUGCUUAACACAUGCAAGUCGAACGGAAAGGCCCUGCUUUUGUGGGGUGCUCGAGUGGCGAACGGGUGAGUAACACGUGAGUAACCUGCCCUUGACUUUGGGAUAACUUCAGGAAACUGGGGCUAAUACCGGAUAGAAGCUCCUGCUGCAUGGUGGGGGUUGGAAAGUUUCGGCGUUUGGGGAUGGACUCGCGGCUUAGCAGUUUGUUGGUGGGGUAGUGGCUUACCAAGGCUUUGACGGGUAGCCGGCCUGAGAGGGUGACCGGCCACAUUGGGACUGAGAUGCGACCCAGACUGCUACGGGAGGCAGGAGUGGGGAAUAGUGCACGAUGGGCGGAAGCCUGAUGCAGCAACGCCGCGUGCGGGAUGACGGCCUUCGGGUUGUAAACCGCUUUCGCCUGUGACGAAGCGUGAGUGACGGUAAUGGGUAAAGAAGCACCGGCUAACUACGUG